rnacentral:rRNA from 1 species
UACGUAGGGGGCAAGCGUUGUCCGGAAUCAUUGGGCGUAAAGCGCUCGCAGGCGGUCCCGUGCGUCGUGCGUGAAAGGCCCCGGCUCAACCGGGGGCGGUCGUGCGAUACGGCGGGACUGGAGGCCAGUAGGGGGACGCGGAAUUCCGGGUGUAGUGGUGGAAUGCGUAGAGAUCCGGAGGAACACCAGCGGCGAAGGCGGCGUCCUGGACUGGGCCUGACGCUCAGGAGCGAAAGCGUGGGGAGCGAUCCGG